AUGUAGGCCUAAUUGGCUAUGACCUUUGAAAUAGUUGAAAGUAAAUCCCAGUAGUAUCUAGUGAAACACACAUGCAAACGCCCUUCUGUCCCUCAUUCCCUCAAACUCGAUCUUCUACAUUUGUUGUGUAAAAAGGACAUAGCAAGUUUUUUGUAUCAAUGAUCACUUUAGGAUAUUCCAGUGCAUUUACAUUCAAUAUAUACUGUACCUUGAGUGAGGUAGAAAUGCAUAUUGUUGCAAAUAUAAAUACUGUUAAUUUGUUAUUUUUUGUAAUUAAUCAUUUACUGAAUUUCUUUGUAGAAUAUGUUACUAUUAUUUGGGUUUUUGUUCUCUGCAUAACUGUCUCUUUCACCUAUAUUAAUUCCUCAGCAUUCAAGAUGUUUGUAGGGUCCUCACCUCAGCUACCUCUCACAAGGUGCCCCUGAAAAAGAAAUUCAAGACGUUUGGGUCCUCAGCUCAACUGACCAAGACCUUUGCUCAUUGAAGGCAUGAAGUAAUUUGUGAUGCCCCCACGAUUGCAGUUUUUAAAUCCAGAUGGCUUGCUCUUUUUAACAUGUGCGAGAGCUGGAUGGUCUUUCAACAACACUGCUCCGGGUCUUCAGCAAGAAAGGUGCUUCUCAUGCAAGGAAGAUACAGAGGAUCCUGGUGCCCAUGACUCAGACUGACAACAUUGAUGUGAAGAGGGAGUGCAUGCUGAGGAGCUGACGGUCUACCUGAAUGAAGAGCCAGACAAAGUGGUAUGUUACAACUCGGCAGCUAGAUCUGUCUUUUUCGUUAUUAGGUGGCAUAGGGAGAUCGCACACAUCAGUGGCCUGCGAGGCUCAUUUUGUUGGGCUCUGGUGGGCUCCUCCUGUGCUACCUGACAUGUCUCCUGGCAUCUCAUCCACGUUCUGGACACUGCUGGAGGACACACCAAACCUUCUUGCAUUGAUGUGCCAUCUUGGCCUCAGUUAUGUGUUCUUUGCAAACACGAAUCUGCCCAAUUCCAGCUUUGCUAAAGCACCCUCACAUCAUCACAAACCCUUUGCCAAAUUUCACGUUCAAUCCAACACCAGUCAUCUCUGAUUUGUAGAUCUCUGCAGGUCUCUAUCUACCCAUGAGGGUGUUGCACUUGCUGUGGCACAUUGCGAAGGCCGCAUUACUGAAGCAGCAGAAGUUAUCUUAGAAGAAAACUUAAACUCAAUAUAGGUUUUAGUUCUGGAAUACGAUCGUGCUGUAGGGUAAUAGUUUUCUCAUAGUUUCACCUUAGACAACUCCCCCUUAGGAGACCAAACUUUGAGCAGACUCUUUUGCAUUGGAUGGGUGGGGUUUGACAUAUCUUUCUCUCUCAUGCAAUUUUUGGUUGACAAUGUGCCUAAAAGGGCCAAUAUGUUCAAAAUACUAAUAAUUGUGCUGGUGGGGCAGCCGUGGCCUAGUGGUUAGAGAGUUGGUUUUUCAAUCUAUUGGUUGCAGGUUUGAAUCUCCCCUGACCUGUCACUACAUCUCCAUCCAUGGCUAAAGUGCCUAAGGCAAGGCAC